rnacentral:rRNA from 1 species
UACGUAGGGGGCUAGCGUUGUCCGGAAUCAUUGGGCGUAAAGAGCGUGUAGGCGGCCCGGUAAGUCCGCUGUGAAAGUCGGGGGCUCAACCCUCGAAUGCCGGUGGAUACUGUCGGGCUAGAGUGCGGAAGAGGCGAGUGGAAUUCCUGGUGUAGCGGUGAAAUGCGUAGAUAUCGGGAGGAACACCUGAGGCGAAGGCGGGUUACUGGGCUGAUACUGACGCUGAUGCGCGAAAGCCAGGGGAGCAAACGGG